rnacentral:rRNA from 1 species
AGCGUACACGGUGGAUGCCCUGGCAGUCAGAGGCGAUGAAGGACGUGCUAAUCUGCGAUAAGCGUCGGUGAGGUGAUAUGAACCGUUAUAACCGGCGAUUUCCGAAUGGGGAAACCCAGUGUGUUUCGACACACUAUCAUUAACUGAAUCCAUAGGUUAAUGAGGCGAACCGGGGGAACUGAAACAUCUAAGUACCCCGAGGAAAAGAAAUCAACCGAGAUUCCCCCAGUAGCGGCGAGCGAACGGGGAGGAGCCCAGAGCCUGAAUCAGUGUGUGUGUUAGUGGAAGCGUCUGGAAAGGCGCGCGAUACAGGGUGACAGCCCCGUACACAAAAAUGCACAUAUUGUGAGCUCGAUGAGUAGGGCGGGACACGUGGUAUCCUGUCUGAAUAUGGGGGGACCAUCCUCCAAGGCUAAAUACUCCUGACUGACCGAUAGUGAACCAGUACCGUGAGGGAAAGGCGAAAAGAACCCCGGCGAGGGGAGUGAAAAAGAACCUGAAACCGUGUACGUACAAGCAGUGGGAGCCUCUUAAUGGGGUGACUGCGUACCUUUUGUAUAAUGGGUCAGCGACUUAUAUUCUGUAGCAAGGUUAACCGAAUAGGGGAGCCGAAGGGAAACCGAGUCUUAACUGGGCGUUAAGUUGCAGGGUAUAGACCCGAAACCCGGUGAUCUAGCCAUGGGCAGGUUGAAGGUUGGGUAACACUAACUGGAGGACCGAACCGACUAAUGUUGAAAAAUUAGCGGAUGACUUGUGGCUGGGGGUGAAAGGCCAAUCAAACCGGGAGAUAGCUGGUUCUCCCCGAAAGCUAUUUAGGUAGCGCCUCGUGAAUUCAUCUCCGGGGGUAGAGCACUGUUUCGGCAAGGGGGUCAUCCCGACUUACCAACCCGAUGCAAACUGCGAAUACCGGAGAAUGUUAUCACGGGAGACACACGGCGGGUGCUAACGUCCGUCGUGAAGAGGGAAACAACCCAGACCGCCAGCUAAGGUCCCAAAGUCAUGGUUAAGUGGGAAACGAUGUGGGAAGGCCCAGACAGCCAGGAUGUUGGCUUAGAAGCAGCCAUCAUUUAAAGAAAGCGUAAUAGCUCACUGGUCGAGUCGGCCUGCGCGGAAGAUGUAACGGGGCUAAACCAUGCACCGAAGCUGCGGCAGCGACGCUUAUGCGUUGUUGGGUAGGGGAGCGUUCUGUAAGCCUGCGAAGGUGUGCUGUGAGGCAUGCUGGAGGUAUCAGAAGUGCGAAUGCUGACAUAAGUAACGAUAAAGCGGGUGAAAAGCCCGCUCGCCGGAAGACCAAGGGUUCCUGUCCAACGUUAAUCGGGGCAGGGUGAGUCGACCCCUAAGGCGAGGCCGAAAGGCGUAGUCGAUGGGAAACAGGUUAAUAUUCCUGUACUUGGUGUUACUGCGAAGGGGGGACGGAGAAGGCUAUGUUGGCCGGGCGACGGUUGUCCCGGUUUAAGCGUGUAGGCUGGUUUUCCAGGCAAAUCCGGAAAACCAAGGCUGAGGCGUGAUGACGAGGCACUACGGUGCUGAAGUGACAAAUGCCCUGCUUCCAGGAAAAGCCUCUAAGCAUCAGGUAACAUCAAAUCGUACCCCAAACCGACACAGGUGGUCAGGUAGAGAAUACCAAGGCGCUUGAGAGAACUCGGGUGAAGGAACUAGGCAAAAUGGUGCCGUAACUUCGGGAGAAGGCACGCUGAUAUGUAGGUGAAACGACUUGCUCGUGGAGCUGAAAUCAGUCGAAGAUACCAGCUGGCUGCAACUGUUUAUUAAAAACACAGCACUGUGCAAACACGAAAGUGGACGUAUACGGUGUGACGCCUGCCCGGUGCCGGAAGGUUAAUUGAUGGGGUUAGCGGUAACGCGAAGCUCUUGAUCGAAGCCCCGGUAAACGGCGGCCGUAACUAUAACGGUCCUAAGGUAGCGAAAUUCCUUGUCGGGUAAGUUCCGACCUGCACGAAUGGCGUAAUGAUGGCCAGGCUGUCUCCACCCGAGACUCAGUGAAAUUGAACUCGCUGUGAAGAUGCAGUGUACCCGCGGCAAGACGGAAAGACCCCGUGAACCUUUACUAUAGCUUGACACUGAACAUUGAGCCUUGAUGUGUAGGAUAGGUGGGAGGCUUUGAAGUGUGGACGCCAGUCUGCAUGGAGCCGACCUUGAAAUACCACCCUUUAAUGUUUGAUGUUCUAACGUUGGCCCGUAAUCCGGGUUGCGGACAGUGUCUGGUGGGUAGUUUGACUGGGGCGGUCUCCUCCUAAAGAGUAACGGAGGAGCACGAAGGUUGGCUAAUCCUGGUCGGACAUCAGGAGGUUAGUGCAAUGGCAUAAGCCAGCUUGACUGCGAGCGUGACGGCGCGAGCAGGUGCGAAAGCAGGUCAUAGUGAUCCGGUGGUUCUGAAUGGAAGGGCCAUCGCUCAACGGAUAAAAGGUACUCCGGGGAUAACAGGCUGAUACCGCCCAAGAGUUCAUAUCGACGGCGGUGUUUGGCACCUCGAUGUCGGCUCAUCACAUCCUGGGGCUGAAGUAGGUCCCAAGGGUAUGGCUGUUCGCCAUUUAAAGUGGUACGCGAGCUGGGUUUAGAACGUCGUGAGACAGUUCGGUCCCUAUCUGCCGUGGGCGCUGGAGAACUGAGGGGGGCUGCUCCUAGUACGAGAGGACCGGAGUGGACGCAUCACUGGUGUUCGGGUUGUCAUGCCAAUGGCACUGCCCGGUAGCUAAAUGCGGAAGAGAUAAGUGCUGAAAGCAUCUAAGCACGAAACUUGCCCCGAGAUGAGUUCU